UGCGGUGAUGAUAGCGAGGAGGAUACACCUGUUCCCAUACCGAACACAGAAGUUAAGCUCCUUAGCGCUGAUGAUACUUGGCGGGAGACCGCCUGGGAAAGUAGGACGUUGCCGCUU
rnacentral:rRNA from 1 species